UACGGAGGGUGCAAGCGUUAUCCGGAUUUACUGGGUUUAAAGGGUGCGUAGGUGGGUUGGUAAGUCAGUGGUGAAAUCUUCGAGCUUAACUCGGAAACUGCCAUUGAUACUAUUAAUCUUGAAUUAUCUGGAGGUAAGCGGAAUAUGUCAUGUAGCGGUGAAAUGCUUAGAUAUGACAUAGAACACCCAUUGCGAAGGCAGCUUACUACGGAUAUAUUGACACUGAGGCACGAAAGCGUGGGGAUCAAACAGG
rnacentral:rRNA from 1 species